GUUUGCAAAGCAGGAAACAUUACU
rnacentral:misc_RNA from 1 species